UACGUAGGGCGCAAGCGUUAUCCGGAAUUAUUGGGCGUAAAGAGCUCGUAGGCGGUUUGUCGCGUCUGCCGUGAAAGUCCGGGGCUCAACUCCGGAUCUGCGGUGGGUACGGGCAGACUAGAGUGCGGUAGGGGAGACUGGAAUUCCUGGUGUAGCGGUGAAAUGCGCAGAUAUCAGGAGGAACACCGGUGGCGAAGGCGGGUCUCUGGGCCGAUACUGACGCUGAGGAACGAAAGCUAGGGGAGCAAACAGG
rnacentral:rRNA from 1 species